CCCAAAUUGUCAUGACUUUUGCUCAAUUUGAGUAAAAUUAACCAAUUUACUACUAAUUUUAGCAUUUAUAGUAGCAUGGACUCAAACUUUUAGCCUGUGCCCAAACCGCGUUCUUUAAGUGCUCAAAUUUUAGAAAGGCGACACAGGCGGGAACCUGUCAGAUUAUUGUUGUUUUCAUUUUGCACCGCGCGCGGGUGAAUCAUUUUUGAUCCGCUCCUCGGUUUUUCGUCGUUUGGUUUGACUUUGAAUUUGGAUCAACAGCAGCCCGUGGGAGGGAAUGCUGCAGAAGUAGCCAUUCUUCCUCCAGCGGAACGGUUACCGGUUCGCUAAUUAGUGGAAAAAUCGCGGAAUCCUAACGCUGCACAUACCGGUAAACGAUAGGAGGAGGAGGAGAAAAUGGUGAAGCGCAAAACCGAACCGAACCGGAAGCAGCAGUAGUGGUUCCGCCGGGUGGUGUGUGUGGUUUAUCUGUUUGGUGAUUUCAUUGGUGAAGAUGUAAUAGAACGCGAUGAUGGAAUACACUUUCCGAAACCCGCGGAGUGAUGCGAACAAAAACAAAAAAGAAGAUAAAAAACAUCAAAUCUCACUUUUUAAUAUUUGAAAAUGAAAACCCUUCAUUAAAUAUAAUUUAAUUUUGGAUUUCACUCAAAUUCUAGCAAACGUUAGAAAAAUAAAUUUUGCUAACAUUUCAGCAAACAAAGGUUUUUGUUUGCUUGAAAAUUAGUAAACAUUCAGUCAGGACACAUUUUGCAUUUUUGCUAAAAUUUUAGUGAAAAAAAAUUGCUAAAUUGAUUGCUAAGUUUUUAGCUGGUCAAAUUUGAGCAAAAUUUUGCUAAUUUUCAGCCUCGAAAAUUUUGUGU